UACAGAGGGUGCAAGCGUUGUUCGGAAUUAUUGGGCGUAAAGCGCGUGUAGGCGGCUUUGCAAGUCGGGUGUGAAAGCCCUCAGCUCAACUGAGGAAGUGCGCCCGAAACUGCAGAGCUUGAGUGCCGGAGAGGGUGGCGGAAUUCCCCAAGUAGAGGUGAAAUUCGUAGAUAUGGGGAGGAACACCAGUGGCGAAGGCGCCUCCUAGGGCGGUAACUGGACGGCUG
rnacentral:rRNA from 1 species